UAAUUAUCUUUUAUUGUCAAAAGAUGGGCUGCCGUCUACUAAGAACAGCCCUCCCUCCGCACGUUUUUGGCAUUAAAGGCCUAUUGGAAAUAAUAGAGGUCCUCAAGAAAUGUUAACUGGGAAAGGGACCCUGAGGUGCGUGAGAGGGACUGGGAGUGAGAACAUAUAGGAAAAUCCUGGUUAUAAACUCCUCAGGGAUGGAAGAGGGAGUGACUUUACUAAUUGCCACUCAGGUUUUAGCUCCAGUGGCUUGUGGCCAAUACCCCUCUCCCAUCCGAAAACACACCGUGGGAUAUCCAAAGAGGAGCCAUUCCAGCUGCCGUCAGCCACCCCUUUUCCCUCUAAUUCUCACACAUUCGAGAUGCCAGUUGCCCAUUUCAAGGCAUGGAGAUAACGAGAGACUUCUGCCUCCAGUCAGACUGUGCCUAACCUAGAGACUUAGAAUUACAGAAUUUUGAUCUAGAAGGGACCUUACAUACGGAAAUUUGAAGCCUAAGAAAACUGACUUGCCUAUGGUCACACAGCUUAAAUUCCCGUAUCUGCUUUCUCCUAGCUCAGUGCCCGCAGGAAAUUUCCCACAGGAAAAGACUGCAACUCCAUCUUGUGUAGUUUCAUGACUUGAUGCCAGAAGACGUAGUUUGGUAGAUGAGUCCAGACGAAUGGUUGUUCUGACGGCUGAGCACACCCCUGGGGCUGGGGGGAGGGGCUGAUUGAGGAAGGUCUCAUGUUCUUGAAUGUGCGCAGCCUAAGUCCCAGUGGGCCCGUUCUCCAGCUGAAGAACCUGAAAGGAGGGCAUUGUCAGGGAUGAGAAACCAACAUUUUUACAGAGCAAUCUUUCUGAAGCUUCCUGUUAACAUAUAAAUGUCAACUGUGUAGCAAGGCUUUUCUAACAAACUUUUGAUAUCUUUUCAGCAUUAAAUUUAUCUUUUUUAUAUAUGCAGUGCCACAGACAGCAUUAUUCAUAAUUUUGCGUGAGACAUCACUAAGACAUUUAAAAGAUUUCAUUUCCUGUAAUCCAUUCAGAUCUUGACAUUUUCCAAGAUGCCAGCCAAGGUGCUUAUCAACUAAAUCUAUCUGUGCGCUUUGAAUGUGGCUCUCUUCCUAACAGGCGUCAUUUUUCUCAUUCAGCCAGUCACCAGUCAACCUAGUAACCUUUUGGUGUCAUUAGCCUGUUGGAACCAGAAUCCUUUAAACUCUGUGUAGACAGAAACUGUUGUAACUUCUCAUUCAAGGACUUCUUUAAUAUUUAAAAUCACAAUAGACUUGUGUGCCACUUUUCACAUGAAAUUGAGUAUAUCUCUACCCCAAUACUGAGUAGAGGAUUUAUUUACAGCUAAAUUUUCUUGCCGAUAAGCAUAGUUUUCAGGAAAUGCUUUUAGCUUUCUCUUUGGUAUAAACUUUGUUUUAUAUUUCUGUUAAAAUUUUUUAAGGUGUUUUUUAAUUUAUGGAAAAAUAGUUACAAGGAAGAAUGUUUACUUCUUGGUGCAAUUUAGAUAAAUAAUUUGAUGAGGAAACCAGAUUUAUGACUCUCUCUGCUCUCUAAACUUUUGUUACAGAACUAACGGGAAGUUACUGGGAUCCAGGAAUUAUGAUUAGCCCAAACUUUGGAGUUUAUUUAAUAUGGGCGGUGCCAUAGGCUUGAAUGGUGGCUCUUCCCCUCUCUCAACACGGACCAAAUGUUACAGCAGCACGGAAAGUGUUGAAACAACAUGCCCACCGGUGCAGCCAGCAGAAACCAACCAGUAAUCAUUUUAUCUUCAAGAUAAACUGGGACACUCGGGACCUUGAGGUGAAACUUCAACCCAGCUCCAUUUCCUGCCGUCUGUGGGAGAAGUCUGUCGGAGGGCUAG
ensembl:lncRNA